rnacentral:rRNA from 1 species
GCUCAGGAUGAACGCUAGCUACAGGCUUAACACAUGCAAGUCGAGGGGUAGCAGGGUAGCAAUACCGCUGACGACCGGCGCACGGGUGAGUAACACGUAUCCAACCUUCCCAUAACUCGGGGAUAGCCUUUCGAAAGAAAGAUUAAUACCCGAUAGUACUUUUUUAGGGCAUCUUAGAAAAGUUAAGGAUUUAUUGGUUAUGGAUGGGGAUGCGUUCCAUUAGAUAGUUGGUGAGGUAACGGCUCACCAAGUCUUCGAUGGAUAGGGGUUCUGAGAGGAAGGUCCCCCACAUUGGUACUGAGACACGGACCAAACUCCUACGGGAGGCAGCAGUGAGGAAUAUUGGUCAAUGGGCGAGAGCCUGAACCAGCCAAG